rnacentral:miRNA from 1 species
UGUCCAGUAGCACCUUAGAGACAAACUAAGUUUGUUCUGGGUAUAAGCUUUCGUGUGCAUGCACGAACAAACUUAGUUGGUCUCUAAGGUGCUACUGGACA